GACGAACGCUGGCGGCGUGCUUAACACAUGCAAGUCGAACGGAGUGGCGAACGGGUGAGUAACACGUGGGUGAUCUGCCUUGCACUUCGGGAUAAGCUUGGGAAACUGGGUCUAAUACCGGAUAGUGCAAGAUGAGCUCGCGGCCUAUCAGCUUGUUGGUGGGGUAAUGGCCUACCUAGGCGUCGACGGGUAGCCGGCCUUAGUGGGUGUACGGACACAGUGUGACUGAGAUACGGCCCAUUGUCGUACGUUAGGCAGCAGUGUGGAAUAUUGCACAAUGGGCGGAAGACUGAUGUAGCUACCCCGGGUGGGGGAUGAAGUCCUUCGGGUUGUAAACUCCUUUCGACAGGGACGCGGGACCUGUAUAAGAAGCACCGGCUAACUACGUGCCAGCAGCCGCGGUAAUAC
rnacentral:rRNA from 1 species